rnacentral:rRNA from 1 species
UACGAAGGGGGCUAGCGUUGCUCGGAAUUACUGGGCGUAAAGCGCACGUAGGCGGCUCUUUAAGUCGGGGGUGAAAUCCUGGAGCUCAACUCCAGAACUGCCUUCGAUACUGGAGAGCUUGAGUCCGGGAGAGGUGAGUGGAACUGCGAGUGUAGAGGUGAAAUUCGUAGAUAUCUGGAGGAACACCGGUGGCGAAGGCGGCAUCCUGGACCGACACUGACGCUGAGGAGCGAAAGCCAGGGGAGCAAACGGG